AUUGAACGCUGGCGGCAGGCUUAACACAUGCAAGUCGAACGAGUGGCGGACGGGUGAGUCAUGCUUGGGAAUCUAGCUUAUGGAGGGGGAUAACUACGGGACCCUGUAGCUAAUACCGCGUACCAUCGGAUGAGCCCACGUGGGAGUAGGUAGUUGGAUGGGUAAAGGCUCACAAAGCCGACGAUCUCUAGCUGGUCUGAGAGGAUGACCAGCCACACUGUGACUGAGACACGGCCCAGAGUCAUACGGGAGGCAGCAGUGGGGAAUAUUGCGCAAUGGGCGCAAGCUUAUGCAGUCAUGCCGCGUUAAUGAAGAAGGCCUUCGGGUUGUAAAGUUCUUUCAGUAGCGAGGCGUUAACUACCGAAGAAGCACCGGCUAACGCCGUGCCAGCAGCCGCGGUAAUUC
rnacentral:rRNA from 1 species